rnacentral:snRNA from 1 species
GUGUUCACUUCGUCAGCACAUAUACUAAACUUGGAAGGAUACAGAGAUUAGCAUGGCCCCUUCGCAAGGAUGACAUGAAAAUUCAUGAAGCAUUCCAUAUUUUU